CGGGGAGGAAACGGUCGUGACGGAGGCUACGGCUCAGAGCGGGAAGAACUGAAAUCGCUUUUGGACACCUCCUUCCCUUUCCCUCCUCGUUGUCGGUCAGAAGCACUAGGCUGAAUAAUUUUUUUAGAGGCUGGACCCUAUCCAAGGCCGUGGCGGCGCGAGCUGGAUUCUAUUUUGUCUUUUGGGCAAAACGGGAGAGAUGGCGGCGCCCGUGAGCCACGACGGAGGAGCAGCAAGGGGGCGGCCAUCUUACAGGAAGUGCAGUUCCGUUCGGCAGAGACCCGAGGAGCUAGUGUUAGGAGGAAACUUGGGACGGUCAACGAAGUUUGCAGGAGGUGAGACACGUUGUGAAGGCGGCGGUCAGGUCCUGGACAAAACACGGAAACUUCGAGUCCUGGUGAAAUUUGGAAAGAGUGCUCAGAAAACUUGAACAGAAGUUUUCAAUAACGGACUAUUAAAUGAAUAACUGAAUUUGGCUUGCAAGAUACAGUAUUCUCUUCGUCAAGGUUCUAUGCUGCUCAGUGAAAAUUAAAUACAGCAAAGGUGCAAGAGAAUGUUUAUAUGUGCUGCUUUUUGAAAAGGGACAAAAAGUAGUAUCUACUUGCUUGUACUGCCAAAAAAAACAAAAACAAAACACUGGAGGGAAUAAAACUUACCUGUGGGAGCCAGAAGGUCAAGGGAAAACAAACUGAGAACAGGGUAAAAGUGAGACUCAUAAAUGCACCUUUUUAUACAGUUUUAAGUUUUGAACCACAUGACUCUGUGACCUAUUCAAACAAUUUCAAUCCAAUCUUGAUGGGGAAUACACAUCUAAAUCCAGGAAAAAUAAAACUGCAAGUCUAUAAAGGGCUUAUAAGGAGAGGAACAUAGUUCUAUGGAGGGCCAGAAAUUGGGGAACCUGGCCGAGUGAGGGAAAGCUUCACUGAAGAAGUGAUUGUUGAAGAUGAUGAAGAAUGAAGGAGGGACCCAGAAGAUAGGAGGAAAGAAAGGAAAGUCCUCCCUCACUAGGACUAAUGAUAAUACUGUUAUUAAUUGCAUUUGGCAGGCACUAUUUUAACUACAUCUACUUCUCACAAUAAACCUACCCAGGCAGAUAUUAAAGAUAAACUGAGGUGAGUUGAGUAACUUGCUCAGAGGCACACAGCUCAGGGCUGGCACGGCAGGAUUCAAAUCAGGCAGUAUGGGACUUCCCUGGUGGCGCAGUGGUUAAGAAUCCGCCCGCCAAUUCAGGGGACACAGGUUCAAGCCCUGGUCAGGGAAGAUCCCACAUGCCAUGGAGCAAUGAAGCCCGUGCGCCACAACUACUGAGCCUGCACUCUAGAGCCUGCGAGCCACAAUUACUGAGCCCGCGGGCCACAACUACUGAAGCCCACAUGCCUGGAGCCUGUGCCCCGCAACAAGAGAAGCCACCGCAGUGAGAAGCUCGCACACCGCAACGAAGAGUAGCCCCCGAUCGCUGCAACUAGAGAAAGCCUGGGCACAGCAACAAAGACCCAAUGCAGACAAAAAUAAAUAAAUAAAUUUAUUUUUAAAAACAAA